rnacentral:tRNA from 1 species
GGGGGCAUAGUGUAGUGGUUAACACGCCUGCCUGUCACGCAGGAGACCGUGGGUUCAAGUCCCAUUGUCCCCGCCA